GAUGAACGCUGGCGGCGUGCCUAAUACAUGCAAGUCGAGCGAAUGGAUUAAGAGCUUGCUCUUAUGAAGUUAGCGGCGGACGGGUGAGUAACACGUGGGUAACCUGCCCAUAAGACUGGGAUAACUCCGGGAAACCGGGGCUAAUACCGGAUAACAUUUUGAACCGCAUGGUUCGAAAUUGAAAGGCGGCUUCGGCUGUCACUUCUGGAUGGACCCGCGUCGCAUUAGCUAGUUGGUGAGGUAACGGCUCACCAAGGCAACGAUGCGUAGCCGACAUGAGAGGGUGAGCGGCCACACGGGGACUGGUACACGGCCCAGACUCCUACGGGAGGCAGACGUAGGGAAUCUUCCGCAAUGGACGAAAGUCUGACGGAGCAACGCCGCGUGAGUGAUGAAGGCUUUCGGGUCGUAAAACUCUGUUGUUAGGGAAGAACAAGUGCUAGUUGAAUAAGCUGGCACCUUGACGGUACCUAACCAGAAAGCCACGGCUAACUACGUGCCAGCAGCCGCCGUAA
rnacentral:rRNA from 1 species